UCAAAUACUCAAAUCCCUAAGGAGCUUCCAUGAACAAUGGAAACCCACAGCAGCAAACCCCUCGGAAAAUACAUUUGGUCACAGGCUGGGGCGUUCAGUCCAUGACCCAGCGUUCUUAAUGCCAGCGCUGCCUUCGUGACCACAGGCGAUUUAGGGACUGCCCUUCUUGCAACUGCUGGGACCAAGCUGGCUGUCAGGGAGCUGCGAGGCUGAUGCUGUCAGCGCGCCAAGCCCCCCGGCAGGGGCACCCGGCGGCUCCGCGGAGAAGGGAGCAGGCAGGGCGCACAACUCCUGGAGGAGCCGGGCUGUCAGCGCUGCCUGCGCGGUGCCCCCGACGCCAGCCUGGGAGACGCUCCCGCCUCUUGACAGCUCCGCGCGAGCGGCUGCAGCAGCUCGGCAGGAGGAAGUUCCCGCGCCCCGCUCGGGCCGGUGCCAGAAGGUUCCUGAAGCCUGACGUGACACCGAGCGGCCCGAGCGGGGACCCCCGCGCAUGCGCCCCGCGCCCCUCACCGUUGCCGGGUGACUCGCCCUCCCCGCCGUCCUCAGCACCACCAGCAGGUUCCUCCGCCUCUUCCUACCCCGGGGGCCGGCGCGGGCCUCUCCUCGCCGCUCCGCUCUCCUCGCAGCCCUCCUCCGCCGGCCGCUGCCCGCGCCGUGUGCCGCGGCCGCCGCGCUGCCGGACCCGACGCCGUCCGUGCCCUCACAGCCGCUCCGAGCUCCGAGCCGCGAGCGGGGGGUCCCCGACGGCAGCGGCGGCGACGGGCGGAAGUGACGCGCUGACUGACAGCCUCAUCAACAACAAUAAAGAUACUGAAUCAGAACAAGCUGGCAAUUUUGUUGAUGAAACACGGGGGAGAGCGGACUCCAGCUGGCUCUUCAGCAGAUCCAUUGGCCAGUUGACAGGAAUAAAACUGCAAGAAACCUGACACAGAAAGCACAUGCGGUGAGAGGAGACAGACAGCAGAGGCAGGCAGCCUUGUGUCCUUAAGCAGCUGAAAAACUUCAGGGUUUAUCUUCUCCCCAAACAUAAAUCCACUCAAGCUACCAGGAGUCCCAGGCUAUUGAGAGUGGAAUGAUUUGGCAACACAAAGAGAAGUUCUGGUGAGGUGCCCCUGAGGACUACAUCCACAGCCCUGAAUCCCAGGAACAAAGAAUUCCUCACCUCUGUAGCUACCCCAGCACAGCAGAGAUUGUAACAACAGACCCACCUAUUGUCCUUUUUCCUCUGGACAAAAGGAAAAUCUGAAGAUAACAUAAAGAAGGAAAAAAUUUAAUUAUAUCAGCCAUCUCCGGGCCAAACCUUGCCUUGAUGGGAAACUCCACUGAAAUCAGGGGAAUAACGCCCAGGCUGGAUUUUAACUUGAAUUUCUUAAUAAAAGGAGGAAUUGGAUUUGGGAAGUUUUACA